rnacentral:rRNA from 1 species
AUACGGAGGGUGCAAGCGUUAUCCGAAAUCAUUGGGUUUAAAGGGUCCGUAGGCGGACUAUUAAGUCAGGGGUGAAAUCCCACAGCUCAACUGUGGAACUGCCUUUGAUACUGGUAGUCUUGAGUUAUAUGGAAGUAGAUAGAAUGUGUAGUGUAGCGGUGAAAUGCAUAGAUAUUACACAGAAUACCGAUUGCGAAGGCAGUCUACUACGUAUAUACUGACGCUAAGGGACGAAAGCGUGGGGAGCGAACAGGAUUAGAAACCCCAGUAGUCC